UGGGGGAUUUUGGACAAUGGGGGAAACCCUGAUCCAGCCAUCCCGCGUGUGCGAUGAAGGCCUUCGGGUUGUAAAGCACUUUUGGCAGGAAAGAAACGUCGCGGGUUAAUACCCCGCGAAACUGACGGUACCUGCAGAAUAAGCACCGGCUAACUACGUGCCAGCAGCCGCGGUAAUACGUAGGGUGCAAGCGUUAAUCGGAAUUACUGGGCGUAAAGCGUGCGCAGGCGGUUCGGAAAGAAGGAUGUGAAAUCCCAGAGCUUAACUUUGGAACUGCAUUUUUAACUACCGGGCUAGAGUGUGUCAGAGGGAGGUGGAAUUCCGCGUGUAGCAGUGAAAUGCGUAGAUAUGCGGAGGAACACCGAUGGCGAAGGCAGCCUCCUGGGAUAACACUGACGCUCAUGCACGAAAGCGUGGGGAGCAAACAGGAUUAGAUACCCUGGUAGUCCACGCCCUAAACGAUGUCACUAGCUGUUGGGGCCUUCGGGCCUUGGUAGCGCAGCUAACGCGUGAAGUUGACCGCCUGGGGAGUACGGUCGCAAGAUUAAAACUCAAAGGAAUU
rnacentral:rRNA from 1 species